GGCUAAAGUCCACGGGCUGUAGAAGCAAACCUUAAAGGGACAUCUGCCUUUCAUUGAGAGGGUGAUCUCGUUCUCCGGGCCAAAUCCCCUAAGGUGGUAGGAAGGCGGCAGAUAAAGAAACCUCAGAUUAAAUAUAAGCAUCAAAAUCUACAAAGAUUUUAGAAGGUGAAGAAACAUGGAAAGAUCUCUGGUGAUGGAGCCAGCAUUGAUGAACCAAGAAAAGUCUUACACGUGAAGAAGCCUGUGAUAAACAAGGUGACUCACCUCAUCAAAUGGAAUGGGGAUCUUCUGGCAAAGCUGCCUGGGUAAACCGCAACUCACAAGGGAUAGAAUUUCACUAAAUUCUUAAGAGGUUACAGACUCUAUUUCUAUCCUUAAAUACACUCAUUAUUUUAUCCCUGGAUAUACCCAAUUAUAGUUUAAACUUAAAUUGAAUAAAAGAUGAUGGGAAACUGUGUCCAGGGGAAUAACAAGGAAGAAAAAUGUCAGAAGAAUUAGUUUCUC
rnacentral:lncRNA from 1 species